GGAACUCGGAACGGUUGGGAAAUUUCCUGACGAGUCAGUAGCGUGGUAGAAGUGAGGAAGAGUAGACGUGUCGAAGGGAGCUCCCGGUGACUCGCCCAGUUGACAAUACAUACAAAUAAUUAAAAGUAACAAGUGUUCAAGACAGUGUCACAGAGGAACACAAUUUCAGGAAACAACUUUUGAAUCCCUGAUCUCUUGAGAAUUUGGG